UACGGGGGGGGCAAGCGUUAUUCGGAAUUACUGGGCGUAAAGGGCUCGUAGGCGGCCAACUAAGUCAGACGUGAAAUCCCUCGGCUUAACCGGGGAACUGCGUCUGAUACUGGAUGGCUUGAGUUUGGGAGAGGGAUGCGGAAUUCCAGGUGUAGCGGUGAAAUGCGUAGAUAUCUGGAGGAACACCGGUGGCGAAGGCGGCAUCCUGGACCAACACUGACGCUGAGGAGCGAAAGCCAGGGGAGCAAAGCGGG
rnacentral:rRNA from 1 species